GUCCACGCCGUAAACGAUGUCAACUAGCCGUUGGUCCUUUCUAUAGGAUUAGUGGCGCAGCUAACGCAUUAAGUUGACCGCCUUGGGAGUACGGCCGCAAGGUUAAAACUCAAAUGAAUUGACGGGGGCCCGCACAAGCGGUGGAGCAUGUGGUUUAAUUCGAUGCAACGCGAAGAACCUUACCUACCCUUGACAUCCAGAGAAUCUGUUAGAGAUAGUGGAGUGCCUUCGGGAACUCUGAGACAGGUGCUGCAUGGCUGUCGU
rnacentral:rRNA from 1 species